AUUGAACGCUGGCGGCAGGCCUAACACAUGCAAGUCGAACGGUAACAGGAAGAAGCUUGCUUCUUUGCUGACGAGUGGCGGACGGGUGAGUAAUGUCUGGGAAACUGCCUGAUGGAGGGGGAUAACUACUGGAAACGGUAGCUAAUACCGCAUAACGUCGCAAGACCAAAGAGGGGGACCUUCGGGCCUCUUGCCAUCGGAUGUGCCCAGAUGGGAUUAGCUAGUAGGUGGGGUAACGGCUCACCUAGGCGACGAUCCCUAGCUGGUCUGAGAGGAUGACCGGCCACACUGGAACUGGGACACGGGCCAGACUCCUACGGGGGGCAGCAGUGGGGAAUAUUGCGCAAGGGGCGCAAGCCUGAUGCAGCCAUGCCGCGUGUAUGAAGAAGGCCUUCGGGUUGUAAAGUACUUUCGGCGGGGAGGAAGGGAGUAAAGUUAAUACCUUUGCUCAUUGACGUUACCCGCAGAAGAAGCACGGGCUAACUCCG
rnacentral:rRNA from 1 species